rnacentral:lncRNA from 1 species
CAUAAGCACAUUGAAGGGGGCAGAAGUAAGGGGAAGCUUUUAAAGAUGAGAGGGAGGUUUACUCAUUGAAACAAUUAUCCUCGGCUUCCAGGAUCAACAAGGAUGGCCUCAUUCCAAGGCUGGAUAGUCAGUUGCUGGGCAGAUAUCCUUGCAGAAGUAUUGUUUGUGUAAUUUGUGGUGACUUUUGUGCAAGGUUGUGGCUUGGCAGAGUCUUUUGAAAUAGUUACCAGGCAAUCAUGUAUGAACUUCAUAAACUCCUGGCUUUAUUUAUUUACUGUGUUCUUAGGGUUGACACAAGCAAGUCCAUUUUGAUUCCGAUAACUUUUAUAAUAUUGUUAACCAACAUAAGGAAUAAUCUGGAAACGGAGGUAUUUUGGUGACUAGAAGACAAUCUAAAUUCUGGAGGUAAUGGGGUGGGAUACACGGGCGCAUCUGCGUACAGAUUUCCAGCUAUAUCCGGAAAUACAGUUGGAACCUUCAGAGUGAAGCGACAACUCAAGCACAUGGGCAAUCCAAGGAAAAAAGGAGGAGAAAAGUGCAGCUCUGGAUCCCUGCAUUCAAGGCUGGGUGGAGAAAGCCGAGCCAACUGAGAGACUAGAGGAGGAACAGAGAGUGCAGAGGAAGGGCAGAAGUCUCAAAGCCACAAGUAGGGGAGCUGGCAGAGCUGGCCUGAGUGGCAGAAGCUCCCCAGGAGCCCAGCAGAGCCUCAUGGAAGCUACAGGGCACCCCAUCCCCUUAGUCCAACUCAUCUUCUCCAGCUGCUCUCUGUAGUUGGGAAGAUUAUUAUUUUUCAUAUAAAAACUCACACUUUCUUUUUUAAAAAUAUUUCUAGUUG